GGGUGUGUUGCUCAGUGGGAGAGCACUUGCCUCCAAUGCAUAGGCCCUGGGUUCAAUCCCCAGCCCA
rnacentral:tRNA from 1 species